rnacentral:rRNA from 1 species
UACGAAGGGGGCUAGCGUUGCUCGGAAUUACUGGGCGUAAAGCGUGCGCAGGCGGUUGUGCAAGACAGAUGUGAAAUCCCCGGGCUUAACCUGGGAAUUGCAUUUGUGACUGCACGGCUAGAGUGUGUCAGAGGGGGGUAGAAUUGCUGGUGUAGCGGUGAAAUGCGUAGAGAUCAGCAGGAAUACCCGUGGCGAAGGCGGCCCCCUGGGCCCUAAAAACCCUUUUCAUGGGAAACCAUGAGGAAACCUGACGGCUGAGGCGCGAAGGCUAGGGGAGCGAACGGG